GUGUCAGCAGCCGCGGUAAGACGAACCGUGCAAACGUUGUUCGGAAUCACUGGGCAUAAAGGGCGCGUAGGCGGCCCGACCAGUCUGCGGUGAAAGCCCCCCGCUCAACGGGGGAAGGGCCGUGGAUACUGUCGGGCUCGAGGGAGACAGGGGCAGGUGGAACUUCCGGUGGAGCGGUGAAAUGCGUUGAGAUCGGAAGGAACUCCGGUGGCGAAAGCGGCCUGCUGGAUCUCUACUGACGCUGAGGCGCGAAAGCCAGGGGAGCAAACGGGAUUAGAUACCCCCGUAGUCC
rnacentral:rRNA from 1 species